rnacentral:rRNA from 1 species
AGAGUUUGAUCCUGGCUCAGGAUGAACGCUGACAGAAUGCUUAACACAUGCAAGUCGAUGGGGAAGUGGUGCUUGCACCAUGGCAACCAUGGCGGACGGGUGAGUAACGCGUAAGGGACUUACCUGCAGGACCGGGAUAACAGGGGGAAACUCCUGACAAGACCGGAUAAUGUCAUGGAGCUGCAUGGCUUUAUGAUGAAAGGAGACGCCUGCGGAGAGCCUUGCGUCCUAUUAGCUAGUUGGUGAGGUAAGGGCUCACCAAGGCGAAGAUAGGUAGCCGGCCUGAGAGGGUGGACGGCCACAAGGGGACUGAGAUACGGCCCUUACUCCUACGGGAGGCAGCAGUGGGGAAUAUUGGACAAUGGGGGCAACCCUGAUCCAGCAAUUCUGUGUGCACGAAGAAGGUUUUCGGAUUGUAAAGUGCUUUCAGCAGGGAAGAAGGAAGUGACGGUACCUGCAGAAGAAGCGACGGCUAAAUACGUGCCAGCAGCCGCGGUAAUACGUAUGUCGCGAGCGUUAUCCGGAAUUAUUGGGCAUAAAGGGCAUCUAGGCGGCCUGACAAGUCAGGGGUGAAAACCUGCGGCUCAACCGCAGGCCUGCCUUUGAAACUGUGAGGCUGGAGUACCGGAGAGGUGGACGGAACUGCACGAGUAGAGGUGAAAUUCGUAGAUAUGUGCAGGAAUGCCGAUGAUGAAGAUAGUUCACUGGACGGUAACUGACGCUGAAGUGCGAAAGCCGGGGGAGCGAACAGGAUUAGAUACCCUGGUAGUCCCGGCUGUAAACGAUGAUUACUGGGUGUGGGCAGGAAGACUGUCUGUGCCGAAGCAAAUGCGAUAAGUAAUCCGCCUGGGGAGUACGGCCGCAAGGCUGAAACUCAAAGGAAUUGACGGGGACCCGCACAAGCGGUGGAGCAUGU